UGCCAGCAGCCGCGGUAAUACGGAGGGUGCAAGCGUUGUUCGGAAUUAUUGGGCGCAAAGCGCGUGUAGGCGGCUUGGCAAGUCGGGUGUGAAAUCCCGGGGCUCAACCCCGGAACUGCACUCGAAACUGCUUGGCUAGAGUCCCGGAGAGGAAGGCGGAAUUCCAGGUGUAGAGGUGAAAUUCGUAGAUAUCUGGAGGAACACCUGUGGCGAAGGCGGCCUUCUGGACGGUGACUGACGCUGAGACGCGAAAGCGUGGGGAGCAAACAGGAUUAGAUAC
rnacentral:rRNA from 1 species